GAGCCAUUAGCUCACUUGGAUAGAGCGGUUGCCUCCUAAGCAACAGGUAGUGUGUUCGAAUCACAUAUGGCUCA
rnacentral:tRNA from 1 species